GUGCUCGCUUCAGCAGCACAGACACUAAAAUUGGAACGAUACAGAAAUUAGCAUGGCCCCUGCACAAGGAUGACACGCAGAUUCGUGAAGCAUUCCAUAUUUUA